rnacentral:rRNA from 1 species
CCUACGGGAGGCAGCAGUGAGGAAUAUUGCACAAUGGGCGAAAGCCUGAUGCAGCAACGCCGCGUGAGCGAUGAAGGCCUUCGGGUCGUAAAGCUCUGUCCUCAAGGAAGAUAAUGACGGUACGUGAGGAGGAAGCCCCGGCUAACUACGUGCCAGCAGCCGCGGUAAUACGUAGGGGGCUAGCGUUAUCCGGAAUUACUGGGCGUAAAGGGUGCGUAGGUGGUUUCUUAAGUCAGAGGUAAAAGGCUACGGCUCAACCGUAGUAAGCCUUUGAAACUGGGGAACUUGAGUGCAGGAGAGGAGAGUGGAAUUCGUGGUGUAGCGGUGAAAUGCGUAGAUAUUAGGAAGAACACCAGUUGCGAAGGCGGCUCACUGGACUGUAACUGACACUGAGGCACGAAAGCGUGGGGAGCAAACAGGAUUAGAUACCCGUGUAGUC